UUUUAUUAUAUAUAUUAUUAUAAAAUUUUCGAAAUCAAACGAUUAUGUUGUAGCCACGUUACGUCUAACAUGGAGUAGGGUUCCAUGUGAUCACAAUCCGAUAUUGACUCGAGAGUAUUCGGAUAAGUCCGGAUUCAUUCGUUUUCAUUCGUUCAUAUACAACGUUGAAAUUCUUUGCAUUAUUCUUUGUUAUCGAAAUUUCAGGUCUUUUUAUAUAUUUUUCUAUUUUUCAUCUAUAUUUUUUUUGGUGUUGAAGUUAAUCAUUUACUUUAUCGACCACAUAAAAAUUGGUAUUUGUUAUACACGUGACAAUAAACGAGAAAUUCCAUUCUUUUGUUGAGAAUAUACUGAAGCAGUGAAUUAUAAAUACAUCAUUGUUAAAACAUCGUGAAAUAAAAGAUGGAAAAGUAUACAAUAGGUUAGAAACCAUGGAAUUGCAAAGGAUUAAGAAAUAUGAAAGUCAUCUUGAAGUUUUUAAAUAGCAUUUCAUAUUUUCUUUGUAGUGUGAUAAUAACUUCAAUUCUGCAGUAAAUUAGAACAUACAAAUAAUAUAGAAACUAUAUCAAAUAAAGUAGAUCAUUUGACUUCUAUAGUCCAUGGCAUAAUCAGGAAUUAAGAAAAUUCACAUAUGAGAAAAGAGAAAAAUAAGUAGUCGUUAAAUAAAGGUUAUAUAAUGAAAGGAAAUGAGAAAUGAACGAGUAUUUAUUUAUUAUUAUUUGUAUGCAUAUAUUUAUUAAUCUCAGUUUUCACAAGACACGAAGUGUAUCCUGUAUGCUUUGAAGAAUGGAAUUUUAACAAUGAAUGGAAUAUUAUCAUUAUCUUCUUUUUGAUAGAACCAACGCAUAUUUCAUUUAAUAUGAGAUAUUAAGUUUAUAUAUUUAAAUAUUUAAAUAUUAAAUAUUUUAUUUAUAUUGUAUUUAACAAUUAGUGUUUUAUUAGUUUCUAUCUAGUGUACUAUGUAUUUAUUGCUACUAAAUGUUAACAAUUAUAAUAAAUAAUUAAAUAUUAA